CGCAAGAGGGCAAACCCAGUGCUUGCACUGGGGGUUGUAGGACUGCAAUGUGCAAGAGGUGAGUUUAGCAGAACAUUCUGGAAAGUAUAGCCAUAGAGGGUGAUAGUCCCGUAUGCGAAAAACAAACCUUAGCUAGCAGUAUCCUGAGUAGGGCGGGACACGAGAAAUCCUGUCUGAAGCUGGGUCGACCACGAUCCAACCCUAAAUACUAAUACCAGAUCGAUAGUGCACAAGUACCGUGAGGGAAAGGUGAAAAGAACUGAGGUGAUCAGAGUGAAAUAGAACCUGAAACCAUUUGCUUACAAUCAUUCAGAGCCCUAUGUAGCAAUACAGGGUGAUGGACUGCCUUUUGCAUAAUGAGCCUGCGAGUUGUGGUGUCUGGCAAGGUUAAGCAAACGCGAAGCCGUAGCGAAAGCGAGUCUGAAUAGGGCGCUUAGUCAGAUGCUGCAGACCCGAAACGAAGUGAUCUAUCCAUGAGCAAGUUGAAGCUAGUGUAAGAACUAGUGGAGGACUGAACCCAUAGGCGUUGAAAAGCCCCGGGAUGACUUGUGGAUAGGGGUGAAAGGCCAAUCAAACUUCGUGAUAGCUGGUUCUCUCCGAAAUAUAUUUAGGUAUAGCGUUGUGUCGUAAUAUAAGGGGGUAGAGCACUGAAUGGGCUAGGGCAUACACCAAUGUACCAAACCCUAUCAAACUCCGAAUACCUUAUAUGUAAUCACAGCAGUCAGGCGGCGAGUGAUAAAAUCCGUCGUCAAGAGGGAAACAACCCAGACUACCAGCUAAGGUCCCUAAAUCUUACUUAAGUGGAAAACGAUGUGAAGUUACUUAAACAACCAGGAGGUUGGCUUAGAAGCAGCCAUCCUUUAAAGAAAGCGUAAUAGCUCACUGGUCUAGUGAUUUUGCGCGGAAAAUAUAACGGGGCUAAAGUA
rnacentral:rRNA from 1 species